UACGUAGGGUGCGAGCGUUAAUCGGAAUUACUGGGCGUAAAGCGUGCGCAGGCGGUGAUGUAAGACAGGUGUGAAAUCCCCGGGCUUAACCUGGGAACUGCAUUUGUGACUGCAUCGCUGGAGUGCGGCAGAGGGGGAUGGAAUUCCGCGUGUAGCAGUGAAAUGCGUAGAUAUGCGGAGGAACACCGAUGGCGAAGGCAAUCCCGUGGGCCUGCACUGACGCUCAUGCACGAAAGCGUGGGGAGCAAACAGG
rnacentral:rRNA from 1 species